CGAACCCCUCUCAGCGCUGGAUUUGAUGCCCGCUUCGGCGGACGUCGAUUCCGGUAGCUGGAUUCUGGCCUUGCCCUUCAUUGGCAUUGCUGAAGUUUGCCUACUAGCAUGAUUAACGCCACUAUUGGGGCCUUGGUCACUGCGCCUGACUAGUCUUUCCUGCAGCCCACGUUCUGUGAGUGAUAUGGAAGGAUUUUGAUGUUGGGUGCUAAGACCGUGUAAGGUUCCAGGCGUUGUGAUUGUCUGUACAGAGCGAAGGCUGCUAACGUGCAUCAUUGUGCAUGCGAACUGCUGGUGGCGUGUUUUGGUUGCUCCCUUGAUUGAGGGCGACUAUUCCGCAUGCUGCCUGCGAACUGCAUGUGCAGCACGUCGAUGCGACCAAGUAGCUCCCUCUACCAUACUUUCGGAUCUCAGCUCAAGCAAGAGGACCCGCCGAAUUUAAGCAUAUAAUUAAGCGG
rnacentral:rRNA from 1 species